rnacentral:lncRNA from 1 species
UUAGGGUUAGGGUUAAGGUUGGAGCUAGGGUUAGGGUUAGGGUUAGGGUUGGAGCUAGGGUUAGGGUUAGGGUUAGGGUUGGAGUUCGGGUUAGUGUUGGAGCUAGGGUUAGGGUUAGGGUUAGGGUUGGAGUUAGGGUUUGUGUUGGAGCUAGGGUUAGGGUUGGGGUUGUAGUUAGGGUUAGUGUUGGAGCUAGCGUUAGGGUUGGGCUUGGAGCUAGAAUUUUUCUGAGUGCAAUGAACCAACUCCCGAGUCUCUAGGACGUUCCUAAAAAAAAUUGAUUUUUUCCCAUAGGAAUGCAUGGGUUAGGGUUAGGGUUAGUGUUGGAGUUAGGGUUAGGGUUAGGGUUAGGGUUGGAGUUAGGGUUAGUGUUGGAGCUAGGGUUAGGGUUGGGCUUGGAGCUAGGAUUUUUCUGAGUGCAAUGAACCAACUCCCGAGUCUCUAGGACGUUCCUAAAAAAAAUUGAUUUUUUCCCAUAGGAAUGCAUGGGUUAGGGUUAGGGUUAGAGUUGGAGCUAGGGUUAGGGUUAGGGUUAGGGUUGGGUUAGGGUUAGUGCCAACCCAAUUUUUCACCUUCCAGAAUAGUGUUAGGAGCACGUUUCAGGGCACGGGGAGUCUAUAGAACCUAAUUCUGGGGGAAGUUUUUUGAAAGGUUUACUUAGGGUUAGGGUUGGAGCUAGGGUUAAGGUUGGAGCUAGGGUUAGGGUUAGGGUUAGGAUUAGGGUGGAGCUAGGGUUAGGGUUAGGGUUAGAGCUAGGGUUAGGGUUGGGGCUAGGGUUAGGGUUAGGGUUAAGGUUGGAGCUAGGGUUAGGGUUAGGGUUAGGGUUGGAGCUAGGGUUAGGGUUAGGGUUAGGGUUGGAGCUAGGGUUAGGGUUAGGGUUGGAGUUAGGGUUAGUGUUGGAGCUAGGGUUAGGGUUGGGCUUGGAGCUAGGAUUUUUCUGAGUGCAAUGAACCAACUCCCGAGUCUCUAGGACGUUCCUAAAAAAAUUUGAUUUUUUUCCCCAUAGGAAUGCAUGGGUUAGGGUUAGGGUUAGGGUUGGAGCUAGGGUUAGGGUUAGGGUUAGGGUUGGAGUAAGGGUUAGUGUUGGAGCUAGGGUUAGGGUUGGGCUUGGAGCUAGGAUUUUUCUGAGUGCAAUGAACCAACUCCCGAGUCUCUAGGACAUUCCUAAAAAAAUUUGAUUUUCUUCCCAUAGGAAUGCAUGGGUUAGGGUUAGGGUUAGGGUUGGAGUUAGGGUUAGUGUUGGAGCUAGGGUUAGGGUUGGGCUUGGAGCUAGGAUUUUUCUGAGUGCAAUGAACCAACUCCCGAGUCUCUAGGACGUUCCUAAAAAAAUUUGAUUUUUUUCCCCAUAGGAAUGCAUGGGUUAGGGUUAGGGUUAGGGUUGGAGCUAGGGUUAGGGUUAGGGUUAGGGUUGGAGUAAGGGUUAGUGUUGGAGCUAGGGUUAGGGUUGGGCUUGGAGCUAGGAUUUUUCUGAGUGCAAUGAACCAACUCCCGAGUCUCUAGGACAUUCCUAAAAAAAUUUGAUUUUUUUCCCCAUAGGAAUGCAUGGGUUAGGGUUAGGGUUAGGGUUGGAGCUAGGGUUAGGGUUAGGGUUAGGGUUGGAGUAAGGGUUAGUGUUGGAGCUAGGGUUAGGGUUGGGCUUGGAGCUAGGAUUUUUCUGAGUGCAAUGAACCAACUCCCGAGUCUCUAGGACAUUCCUAAAAAAAUUUGAUUUUCUUCCCAUAGGAAUGCAUGGGUUAGGGUUAGGGUUAGGGUUGGAGUUAGGGUUAGUGUUGGAGCUAGGGUUAGGGUUGGGCUUGGAGCUAGGAUUUUUCUGAGUGCAAUGAACCAACUCCCGAGUCUCUAGGACGUUCCUAAAAAAAUUUGAUUUUUUUUCCCAUAGGAAUGCAUGGGUUAGGGUUAGGGUUAGGGUUGGAGCUAGGGUUAGGGUUAGGGUUAGGGUUGGAGUAAGGGUUAGUGUUGGAGCUAGGGUUAGGGUUGGGCUUGGAGCUAGGAUUUUUCUGAGUGCAAUGAACCAACUCCCGAGUCUCUAGGACGUUCCUAAAAAAAUUUGAUUUUUUUCCCCAUAGGAAUGCAUGGGUUAGGGUUAGGGUUAGGGUUGGAGCUAGGGUUAGGGUUAGGGUUAGGGUUGGAGUAAGGGUUAGUGUUGGAGCUAGGGUUAGGGUUGGGCUUGGAGCUAGGAUUUUUCUGAGUGCAAUGAACCAACUCCCGAGUCUCUAGGACAUUCCUAAAAAAAUUUGAUUUUCUUCCCAUAGGAAUGCAUGGGUUAGGGUUAGGGUUAGGGUUGGAGUUAGGGUUAGUGUUGGAGCUAGGGUUAGGGUUGGGCUUGGAGCUAGGAUUUUUCUGAGUGCAAUGAACCAACUCCCGAGUCUCUAGGACGUUCCUAAAAAAAUUUGAUUUUUUUUCCCAUAGGAAUGCAUGGGUUAGGGUUAGGGUUAGGGUUGGAGCUAGGGUUAGGGUUAGGGUUAGGGUUGGAGUAAGGGUUAGUGUUGGAGCUAGGGUUAGGGUUGGGCUUGGAGCUAGGAUUUUUCUGAGUGCAAUGAACCAACUCCCGAGUCUCUAGGACGUUCCUAAAAAAAUUUGAUUUUUUCCCAUAGGAAUGCAUGGGUUAGGGUUAGGGUUAGGGUUGGAGCUAGGGUUAGGGUUAGGGUUGGAGUUAGGGUUAGUGUUGGAGCUAGCGUUAGGGUUGGGCUUGGAGCUAGGAUUUUUCUGAGUGCAAUGAACCAACUCCCGAGUCUCUAGGACGUUCCUAAAAAAAAUUGAUUUUUUCCCAUAGGAAUGCAUGGGUUAGGGUUAGGGUUAGGGUUGGAGCUAGGGUUAGGGUUAGGGUUAGGGUUGGAGUUAGGGUUAGUGUUGGAGCUAGCGUUAGGGUUGGGCUUGGAGCUAGGAUUUUUCUGAGUGCAAUGAACCAACUCCCGAGUCUCUAGGACGUUCCUAAAAAAAAUUGAUUUUUUCCCAUAGGAAUGCAUGGGUUAGGGUUAGGGUUAGAGUUGGAGCUAGGGUUAGGGUUAGGGUUAGGGUUGGGUUAGGGUUAGUGCCAACCCAAUUUUUCACCUUCCAGAAUAGUGUUAGGAGCACGUUUCAGGGCACGGGGAGUCUAUAGAACCUAAUUCUGGGGGAAGUUUUUUGAAAGGUUUACUUAGGGUUUGGGUUAGGGUUAGGGUUGGAGCUAGGGUUAAGGUUGGAGCUAGGGUUAGGGUUAGGGUUAGGAUUAGGGUGGAGCUAGGGUUAGGGUUAGGGUUAGAGCUAGGGUUAGGGUUGGGGCUAGGGUUAGGGUUAGGGUUAAGGUUGGAGCUAGGGUUAGGGUUAGGGUUAGGGUUGGAGCUAGGGUUAGGGUUAGGGUUAGGGUUGGAGCUAGGGUUAGGGUUAGGGUUGGAGCUAGGGUUAGGGUUGGGCUUGGAGCUAGGAUUUUUCUGAGUGCAAUGAACCAACUCCCGAGUCUCUAGGACGUUCCUAAAAAAAAUUGAUUUUUUUCCCAUAGGAAUGCAUGGGUUAGGGUUAGGGUUAGGGUUGGAGCUAGGGUUAGGGUUAGGGUUAGGGUUGGAGUUAAGGGUUAGUGUUGGAGCUAGGGUUAGGGUUGGGCUUGGAGCUAGGAUUUUUCUGAGUGCAAUGAACCAACUCCCGAGUCUCUAGGACGUUCCUAAAAAAAAUAGAUUUUUUCCCAUAGGAAUGCAUGGGUUAGGGUUAGGGUUAGGGUUGGAGCUAGGGUUAGGGUUAGGGUUAGGGUUGGAGUUAGGGUUAGUGUUGGAGCUAGGGUUAGGGUUAGGGUUAGGGUUGGAGUUAGGGUUUGUGUUGGAGCUAGGGUUAGGGUUGGGCUUGGAGCUAGGAUUUUUCUGAGUGCAAUGAACCAACUCCCGAGUCUCUAGGACGUUCCUAAAAAAAUUUGAUUUUUUCCCAUAGGAAUGCAUGGGUUAGGGUUAGGGUUAGGGUUGGAGCUAGGGUUAGGGUUAGGGUUGGAGUUAGGGUUAGUGUUGGAGCUAGCGUUAGGGUUGGGCUUGGAGCUAGGAUUUUUCUGAGUGCAAUGAACCAACUCCCGAGUCUCUAGGACGUUCCUAAAAAAAAUUGAUUUUUUCCCAUAGGAAUGCAUGGGUUAGGGUUAGGGUUAGUGUUGGAGUUAGGGUUAGGGUUAGGGUUAGGGUUGGAGUUAGGGUUAGUGUUGGAGCUAGCGUUAGGGUUGGGCUUGGAGCUAGGAUUUUUCUGAGUGCAAUGAACCAACUCCCGAGUCUCUAGGACGUUCCUAAAAAAAAUUGAUUUUUUCCCAUAGGAAUGCAUGGGUUAGGGUUAGGGUUAGAGUUGGAGCUAGGGUUAGGGUUAGGGUUAGGGUUGGGUUAGGGUUAGUGCCAACCCAAUUUUUCACCUUCCAGAAUAGUGUUAGGAG